GAUGAACGCUAGCGGCAGGCCUAAUACAUGCCAGUCGAACGGGAUCCAGAUCAAAGCUUGCUUUGGUUUGGUGAGAGUGGCGCACGGGUGCGUAACGCGUGAGCAACCUACCCUUGUCAGGGGGAUAGCCCGGCGAAAGUCGGAUUAAUACCGCAUGACAUCAUUGAGAGGCAUCUUUCGAUGAUCAAAGAUUUAUCGGACAAGGAUGGGCUCGCGUGACAUUAGCUAGUUGGUAAGGUAACGGCUUACCAAGGCUACGAUGUCUAGGGGCUCUGAGAGGAGAAUCCCCCACACUGGUACUGAGACACGGACCAGACUCCUACGGGAGGCAGCAGUAAGGAAUAUUGGUCAAUGGACGGAAGUCUGAACCAGCCAUGCCGCGUGCAGGAAGACGGCCCUAUGGGUUGUAAACUGCUUUUAUACGGGAACAAACGUCGGUACGGGUACCGGUCUGAGUGUACCGUAAGAAUAAGGAUCGGCUAACUCCGUG
rnacentral:rRNA from 1 species